rnacentral:rRNA from 1 species
GAUGAACGCUAGCGAUAGGCUUAACACAUGCAAGUCGAGGGGCAGCACAAGGUAGCUUGCUCUCUGGGUGGCGACCGGCGCACGGGUGCGUAACGCGUAUGCAACUUGCCCUAUACAGGAGGAUAACCCGUCGAAAGACGGACUAAUACUGCGUAUGCUCACAACUUGGCAUCAAGUGGUGAGGAAAGAAAUUCGGUAUAGGAUAGGCAUGCGUCCCAUUAGCUUGUUGGUGAGGUAACGGCUCACCAAGGCAACGAUGGGUAGGGGAACUGAGAGGUUUAUCCCCCACACUGGUACUGAGACACGGACCAGACUCCUACGGGAGGCAGCAGUGAGGAAUAUUGGUCAAUGGGCGCGAGCCUGAACCAGCCAAGUCGCGUGAAGGAGGACUGUCCUAUGGAUUGUAAACUUCUUUUAUACGGGAAUAACAAGAGUCACGUGUGACUCCCUGCAUGUACCGUAUGAAUAAGCAUCGGCUAACUCCGUG